GUCCACGCCGUAACGAUGGAUACUAGCUGUUCGGAGCAAUCUGAGUGGCUAAGCGAAGUGAUAAGUAUCCCACCUGGGAGUACGUUCGCAAGAAUGAACUCAAGGAAUUGACGGGCCCGCACAAGCGGUGGAGCAUGUGGUUUAAUUCGAUGAUACGCGAGGAACCUUACCAAGGCUUAAAUGUAGAUUGACCGGUUUGGAACAGAUCUUUCGCAAGACAAUUUACAAGGUGCUGCAUGGUUGUCGU
rnacentral:rRNA from 1 species